rnacentral:rRNA from 1 species
UGGGGAAUAUUGGACAAUGGGCGAAAGCCUGAUCCAGCCAUGCCGCGUGUGUGAAGAAGGUCUUCGGAUUGUAAAGCACUUUAAGUUGGGAGGAAGGGCAGUAAGCGAAUACCUUGCUGUUUUGACGUUACCGACAGAAUAAGCACCGGCUAACUCUGUGCCAGCAGCCGCGGUAAUACAGAGGGUGCAAGCGUUAAUCGGAAUUACUGGGCGUAAAGCGCGCGUAGGUGGUUCGUUAAGUUGAAUGUGAAAGCCCCGGGCUCAACCUGGGAACUGCAUACAAAACUGGCGAGCUAGAGUAGGGCAGAGGGUGGUGGAAUUUCCUGUGUAGCGGUUAAAUGCGUAAAUAUAGGAAGGAACACCAGUGGCGAAAGCGACCACCUGGGCUAAUACUGACACUGAGGUGCGAAAGCGUGGGGAGCAAACAGG